AUUCUUUUACAAACGUAUUGGGGCGUAAAUGACUUUCUAUU
rnacentral:tRNA from 1 species